AACAAUGUUAGAUGCAGCAAGUGGUGGUGUCAUAGUGAACAAAACACCUCAAGAAGCUAGAGAUUUGAUAGCAAUCAUUGCUGCCACCUCACAACAAUUUGGAGUAGCAUGAGACACCCAAAGGAGGGUGAAUGAGGUAAGUGUGUUACCACAAAAGCGUUUAUGUGAGGGAAACACGGCUACAUUCUUGUCCAACAUGGCCAUGUUGUGUUUACAAGAAGGAAAUCAAUUGAAUCCAAGAAAAAUACAGUC
rnacentral:lncRNA from 1 species